CUGGCCUGAUUGCGGGGCGGGGUCUUUAUAUGUCCUGUCCUCCCAUUCAACCCAUUGUUCCUCGAUGUUCACCUGACGGGCUGUGUUGCUAUCCGCUGGUCAGUUGGUUCGAUCAUUUGUGGGACAUAAAGGUAAGCAUGAGUUUUCAUGCUUGGACUGUGUUAAUUGGGUAUCUUGGUGUGACAGCAGCCGUGAUGUUUCAUUCACAGCGUGGUCUGCUGCUGGCGUGGAUGUACAAGAGGUGCUUUAAGUGUGGUGUUUGCUCUCCAUUAUCAUCAUCAUCAUCUAAAAGACGGUGACUGGUUUGGCCUGAGCAUAAAGCUAACUUCACUCUGGUAGGCUAGCUGUUUGGUUGUGUUUUUUUUAGUUGUUUAUUUGCUGCAUGGUAACCUGCCUUACUUUCUUUGUAGCUGCUGCAGCCAUAGAUUGUGGCUCUCCUCUGUGGCUCUCCACUGCUCGGCGCUCCGUGCGAGGCUCCACUUCUGCCCACUACGUUGGUCGCCAGCUGGGCAUCCUAAAGGACGGCUUCCCUAGGCCUCCAGCCCAUGUGCGGCCGCUCCAUUUCUCUGCUGCUUCUUUGGAGUCACAUACCAUACAAAGAACUGGUUUAUCCCCCGACACUACCUAUUUCUGAGCUUAAUUAUUUAUUUUCUUUGGUUUAUUUAGGUUGUUAAGCGUAUAGGUUAUCGAGUGAAACUUUUUAUUUUGUUUAGUUGAGUAUUUGUUUUGGUAUUUAGUUCAUUACUCAAUUAAGUUAGGUUUAUUCUUUUCUUUUUGUGUGUGUGUGUGUGUUUUUAGAAUGGGUCAUUUAACCCAUUUUUUAACAGUAUUACAUAUUGCUUUUUGGAGUGACCAACUGUAGUAUUGAUUUUCUUCUUUCUUUUUCAGGAGCUGGCCACAGACUUCCCCGUUGGUGGCCUCCCCCUUCACUCCCUUUAGUUGCCGUGGCACGUGGUGGUUUGGUUUGUAGGAUUUUCUUUGGUUUGUAGUAAUUUUCCUUGGUUUGCAGUGGUUUUCUUUGGUUUUGAAUUUUUUUCUUUUUUACUUUAGUCUGUUUGCUACCAAGUCUCCUGGUUCCCGUUUUUGUUUACUGUGUUUAUUGUUUAUUGGCACUCCGAGGAUUAUUAUUCAUAUUUGUGCUCUUUUAAAAACAAAAGUUGAAAUAAAUAAAAUUGUUUUAAUCUUUUUGGAAGUCCGUCUCUCGUCC